rnacentral:rRNA from 1 species
UGAGCAAUCUGCCCUUCACUUCGGGAUAACUCCGGGAAACCGGUGCUAAUACCGAAUACGACCACCGAUGGCAUCGUCUGGUGGUGGAAAGUUCCGGCGGUGAAAGAUGAGCUCGCGGCCUAUCAGCUUGUUGGUGGGGUAAUGGCCCACCAAGGCAACGACGGGUAGCCGGCCUGAGAGGGUGACCGGCCACACUGGGACUGAGACACGGCCCAGACUCCUACGGGAG